rnacentral:rRNA from 1 species
AGUAACGCGUGGGCAACCUGCCCCACACUGGGGGACAACAGCUGGAAACGGCUGCUAAUACCGCAUAAGCGCACAGCUUCGCAUGAAGCAGUGUGAAAAAUUCCGGUGGUGUGGGAUGGGCCCGCGUCUGAUUAGCUAGUUGGUGAGGUAACGGCUCACCAAGGCGACGAUCAGUAGCCGGCCUGAGAGGGUGGACGGCCACAUUGGGACUGAGACACGGCCCAGACUCCUACGGGAGGCAGCAG